ACGGAAGGAGCUAGCGUUGUUCGGAAUUACUGGGCGUAACGCGCACGUAGGCGGCUACUCAAGUCAGAGGUGAAAGCCCGGGGCUCAACCCCGGAACUGCCUUUGAAACUAGGUAGAUAAAAUCUUGGAGAGGUCAGUGGAAUUCCGAGUGUAGAGGUGAAAUUCGUAGAUAUUCGGAAGAACACCAGUGGCGAAGGCGACUGACUGGACAAGUAUAGACGCUGAGGUGCGUAAGCGUGGCGAGCAAAAAG
rnacentral:rRNA from 1 species